GCGCUUGAUUCGGCAGCACAUAUACUAAAAUUGGAACGAUACAGAGAAGAUUAGCAUAGCCCUGCGCAAGGAUGACACGCAAAUUUGUGAAGCAUUCCGUAUUUUA
rnacentral:snRNA from 1 species